UCUGUGAUCUACGUUGCAAGCAUGGUUACUAGACGUUUGUUGUUUCGUUGUGUUAAGUUACUAGCUAGCUAGUAAAGCUGUUUAAGUUAGCAUUUAACAUUAGCUAACUGCUAACGUUAUCUAAAACUUGUAGCCAGCGGCUAACUACGUUACUGAGCUAAUUUGCCAUGGGAAUCAUGUAUUCUUCGUGAGGCCUUCCUCAAUGGAGCUGUAUUAAUUAUCGUCUUCUCUCUGUAGAGACCUGCAGGACCCGAGCAGAGCUACAAUGCUCUCCCAGGUAACGUUAGGUACUUCAAGCUUUACAAUAAGAAGUCAAGGAAGGGAAGGACGACAGCCACAUCCCAGCCCUUCAGAGAACUGUCCUGCAGAAAGGGCUGUCGUCCAGACUGGAGUGGUUGUCCAUCAGUGAGCUCAGGAGACCAGAUGAUCCCAGGCGUCUGGGAGUUGUGUGUGAUAUUCCUGCACCAUCCUCAGAAGUGUUGUUGCAGACACAAGUCAGCAGAGAAAUACAGCUUGCAUAGGUGAAACUGAAUAUGUGAAAUAUAUACAUAACCCAAUUACUCAGUAUGUUUGUGUAUUGUUGGUGAUGAAAAACGGAUCCUGACCUGUGAUGUACUGCAAAUAAUGACUGACACUGAGUUCCAGUUUCUUCUACUACCGGGGCCCCAGCCAAAUACGUUCAAAUAUCCAUUAUGUAUGUGAAGUUUUAUAUUGGACUAAAAAUAAAGCAUUAUAAUAU